GGAUGCUUAACCGACUGACCACCCAGGUGCCCCAGGUUUAUGUGUUUUCAACCAGCUCUCAUUGCCAAGAUGUAGGAUUGGUCUUUUCCGAACCCCAAAAUUUAAGGAUUAAGAGAAAAUUUUGAAUCAUGAUUUAAAAAGUUUUCUUAGCACAGAUUUUUUUUGGGUCAAAAAUGAAGGUUGCCUAAAUAGAAGGCAACAAUAUGCUGCUUUUGUGCAGACAUCACAAAUCAUGAACUAGCUCAAAGCAUAGUUUAGAAGGGAGAGCAAAGCAAGAGGGGCAGCACAACACAGUGGUAAUGUGUGGACUUUGAAAUCAGAACACCUGGGUUUGAAUUAUGAUUUCUGACAAAUGAAAACUAAGUAGCUCUUUUGUUUGUUGGAUGUUUUGAUUUUUCUGUUAGGUAGAAAGGAAAGGAGUUAUUAACAGUCUUCUGUUUUGUUCUGAUGAUAGAAAAAUGUGUGCUGACCGUCAAAACAGCUUUCCUACUUUACAAUAUUGCUAUCAGCCUUUGUGUGAAGAUGCUAUCUUGUUUAAUCUGGUGAAAAGAAUCCAAGAGGUUGUGGUUACGUGGCAUGCAUUGCUAUGGUAAAGAGGGCAGAUGUUUGAAAAAGCAAAACUGGUGAUCAGAAGGACGUUUUCACAGACCAGACCAUCUGCUGCUUCCACAUUCACCGGUCUAGAAACAAGCACUAGAAUCAGCUGGAUGAUGGGAAAACCAGUGCGAACAUGGAAAUGAAUAUAUAGUGACAGAAGCAGAUCAUUGGUCGUCUGGAGACACAGUGGAGAGCAAGUGAAAAAAGAGUCAUAACCAAGGGGGUAAGAAGAAGCUCUCAAGGAUGGACAUGUUCCUGGUCUUGAUUAUGGUGAUAGUUUCAUUGGUAUAUACAUAAGACAAAAGUUACCAUAUUAUACACUUUAAAUAUGUGUAGUUUAUGGUAUGUAUUAAAUUUAAGUAAAUUUGCUUUA